AGCCUUAAGUAUUAUUUAAGGUGACGCCUGCCCAGUGCAAGUAGUUAACGGCCGCAGUACCCUGACUGUGCUAAGGUAGCAUAAUCAGUUGGCUUUUAAAUGGAGUCGGGAAUGAAUGGAUUUAUGGGGCCAAGCUGUCUCUCCUAUACUUAUUUGAAUUUACUUAUUAGGUGAAAAUGCCUAAGAGAAGAAAAAAGACGAGAAGACCCUAGGAGUUUUUACUAAAGGUUUUAAGACCUACGUUUUUGUUGGGGCGACAAGAGAAGACUAAAACUUCUUUUUUUAAUGGGCCGACUAUGGUAUGUAAGAUUAAACUACCCUAGGGAUAACAGCGUAAUUCUUUUUGAGUUUGCGACCUCGAUGUUGGACUAGGAAUUUAGUGGGCUAGCCGCCUACCUAUAUUGUUCUGUUCGAACUUAACUUCC
rnacentral:rRNA from 1 species